AGAGUUUGAUCAUGGCUCAGAAUCAACGCUGGCGGCGCGCCUAACACAUGCAAGUCGAACGAGAAAGUGGAGCAAUCCAUGAGUAAAGUGGCGUACGGGUGAGUAACACGUGGAUCAUCUACCCUCUAGUGGGGAAUACCGCUGGGAAACCGGCGACAAUACCGCAUAAGCUCGAGAGAGGAAAGCAGCAAUGCGCUGGAGGAGGAGUCCGCCGAUUAGUUAGUUUGGCGGGGUAAAGGCCCACCAAGACUGUGAUCGAUAGCCGGCCUGAGAGGGCACACGGCCACACUGGCACUGAAACACGGGCCAGACUCCUACGGGAGGCAGCAGUGGGGAAUCUUGCACAAUGGGGGAAACCCUGAUGCAGCGACGCCGCGUGAGCGAUGAAGCCCCUCGGGGUGUAAAGCUCUUUCGGCAGGGAAGAUUAUGACGGUACCUGCAAAAGCAGCUGCGGCUAACUACGUGCCAGCAGCCGCGGUAAUACGUAGGCAGCAAGCGUUGUUCGGAGUUACUGGGCGUAAAGGGUGCGUAGGCGGCUUUUUAAGUUUGGUGUGAAAUCUCCCGGCUCAACUGGGAGGGUGCGCCGAAUACUGAGAGGCUAGAGUGUGGGAGAGGAAAGUGGAAUUCCUGGUGUAGCGGUGAAAUGCGUAGAUAUCAGGAGGAACACCGGUGGUGUAAACGGCUUUCUGGACCAUAACUGACGCUGAGGCACGAAAGCGUGGGUAGCAAACAGGAUUAGAUACCCUAGUAGUCC
rnacentral:rRNA from 1 species